UUGAUCAUGUUUUACAUUGUAAAGUAGCUUAAUUAUUAAGUGGCGGUUUGACUGUGCAGUGGUUCUAUCCCCCACACAGCCUAAAUGUCUGUAUCCAUAUCAUGUUCUGUUAAACAAUUAAGCCUAUUUAAACUAACACAGACUUCUACUCAGCCAACAGAAAGAAAGCAGAUGCCCGUAAAACAGGUGGUGGCCCAGCAGCACCACCUCUAACGGAGGCAGAGGAGCUGGUCCUAAGCUAGAAUUUUGGAAGGCCAGUGGCUGAGGGAAUCCCUGGAGGGAGCUCAUCCUCUGAGACCACCCCCCAAGACACAAGUGCUUUUAUAAAAUAUUCUGAUGGUACUAUCUGCCUGGUGGAGCCCCUUCACACCACAACAGACCUUGUAACUGAUGAAGAGGAUGAAACUGUGUCUGCUGCCUUUACAGAGGGGGAUCCAGAAAGGCAUACAGAGGUAUGUUACUGAUAGUUCUCUUCCCAUUCACAUUUCUGAACAUUCUGGUGGAAUAUAGAGUGUGACAUUUAGCCUACACUGAAGUAUUGCACAUUCUCAUCCUUUUCAACAGAACAUGGCUGGACAGCAGCAGGAUGGUCCCUCAACUUCCACUGCACAGAUUGACACAGUGAGAUGGAUGUUCAGUAAACACCAGAGG